rnacentral:rRNA from 1 species
GAUGAACGCUGGCGGCGUGCCUAAUACAUGCAAGUCGAGCGAACGGACGAGAAGCUUGCUUCUCUGAUGUUAGCGGCGGACGGGUGAGUAACACGUGGAUAACCUACCUAUAAGACUGGGAUAACUUCGGGAAACCGGAGCUAAUACCGGAUGAUAUUUUGAACCGCAUGGUUCAAAAGUGAAAGACGGUCUUGCUGUCACUUAUAGAUGGAUCCGCGCUGCAUUAGCUAGUUGGUAAGGUAACGGCUUACCAAGGCAACGAUGCAUAGCCGACCUGAGAGGGUGAUCGGCCACACGGAAAAGGAGACACGGGCCAAACCCCAAGGGGAGGCAGCGGUAGGGAAUCUUCCGCAAGGGGGGAAGGCCUGACGGAGAAACGCGGGGGGGGUGAUAAGGGUUUUGGGAUGGUAAAACUUUUUUAUUGGGGAAAAAAAUAGGGGAAAGUAACUGUGAACAUCUGAAGGGUACCAAAUCAAAAAGCCACGGCAAACUACGG